rnacentral:snoRNA from 1 species
GUGAUGUAGGUCUUUAGUUCUGAUAGAUGAAGACGAAUCCACGAGCUGA